UGUUUGAUGUUCUAACGUGGACCCGUGAUCCGGGUUGCGGACAGUGUCUGGUGGGUAGUUUGACUGGGGCGGUCUCCUCCUAAAGAGUAACGGAGGAGCACGAAGGUUGGCUAAUCCUGGUCGGACAUCAGGAGGUUAGUGCAAUGGCAUAAGCCAGCUUGACUGCGAGCGUGACGGCGCGAGCAGGUGCGAAAGCAGGUCAUAGUGAUCCGGUGGUUCUGAAUGGAAGGGCCAUCGCUCAACGGAUAAAAGGUACUCCGGGGAUAACAGGCUGAUACCGCCCAAGAGUUCAUAUCGACGGCGGUGUUUGGCACCUCGAUGUCGGCUCAUCACAUCCUGGGGCUGAAGUAGGUCCCAAGGGUAUGGCUGUUCGCCAUUUAAAGUGGUACGCGAGCUGGGUUUAGAACGUCGUGAGACAGUUCGGUCCCUAUCUGCCGUGGGCGCUGGAGAACUGAGGGGGGCUGCUCCUAGUACGAGAGGACCGGAGUGGACGCAUCACUGGUGUUCGGGUUGUCAUGCCAAUGGCACUGCCCGGUAGCUAAAUGCGGAAGAGAUAAGUGCUGAAAGCAUCUAAGCACGAAACUUGCCCCGAGAUGAGUUCUCCCUGAGACUUUAGGUCUCCUGAAGGAACGUUGAAGACGACGACGUUGAUAGGCCGGGUGUGUAAGCGCAGCGAUGCGUUGAGCUAACCGGUACUAAUGAACCGUGAGGCUUAACCUUACAACGCCGAAG
rnacentral:rRNA from 6 species